AACGAACGCUGGCGGCAGGCUUAACACAUGCAAGUCGAACGCAUCCUUCGGGGUGAGUGGCAGACGGGUGAGUAACGCGUGGGAACGUGCCCUUCAGUUCGGGAUAACCCAGGGAAACUUGGGCUAAUACCGGAUACGUGCGAGAGCAGAAAGAUUUAUCGCUGAAGGAUCGGCCCGCGUCUGAUUAGCUAGUUGGUGGGGUAAUGGCCCACACAGGCGCCGAUCAGUUGCUGGUCUGAGAGGAUGAUCAGCCACAUUGGGACUGGGACACGGCCCAAACUCGUGCGGGAGGCAGCAGUGGAGAAGAUUGGACAGUGGGCGCAAGGCUGAUCCAGCCAUGCCGCGUGAGUGAUGAAGGCCUUAGGGUUGUAAAGCUCUUUCGUCCGGGACGAUAAUGACGGUACCGGAAGAAGAAGCCCCGGCUAACUUCGUGCCAGCCGCCGCCGUAA
rnacentral:rRNA from 1 species